ACAACGCUUGUGGCGUGCCUAACACAUGGCCGUCAUGCGUCUCCUCUUUUCGGAGAGGAGGAAGCGGCGGACGGGUGAGGCACACGUGUAUACCUACCCCUCAGUGAGGAAUACCGGCGAGAAAUCGCCGACAAUACCGCAUAAGGUCCCUCUUGCGAGGGAGCAAAGCCGCAAGGCGCUGGGGGAGGGGUCUGCGUCCGAUUAGCUAGCUGGUGGGGUAAUGGCUCACCAGGGCGACGAUCGGUAGCUGGUCUGAGAGGAUGAUCAGCCACACUGGGAUUGAGAACGGCCCAGACUCCUACGGGGGGCAGCAGUGAGGAAUCUUCGGCAAUGGGGGCAACCCUGACCGAGCAACGCCGCGUGCAGGAAGAAGGUUUUCGGAUCGUAAACUGCUUUUCUGUGGGACGAGCAAGGACGGUACCACAGGAAGAAGCCCCGGCUAACUACGUG
rnacentral:rRNA from 1 species